AGUGAACGCUGGCGGAGUGCUUAAUACAUGCAAGUCGAGCGAGAAAGUUCUUCGGAACGAGUAGAGCGGCGAACGGGUGAGUAACACGUAAAUAACCUGCCUUUAAGUUCGGGACAACCAUGCUAACGCGUGGCUAAUACCGGAUGUGGUUUAGAUAUCUCCUGAUUUCUAAAUUAAAACUACGGUGCUUAAAGAUGGAUUUGCGUACUAUUAGCUAGUUGGUAAGGUAAUGGCUUACCAAGGCGAUGAUAGUUAGCCGACCUGAGAGGGUGAUCGGCCACAUUGGGACUGAGACACGGCCCAGACUCCUACGGGAGGCAGCAGUAGGGAAUCUUGCGCAAUGGACGAAAGUCUGACGCAGCAACUCCGCGUGGAGGAUGACGGUCUUCGGAUUGUAAACUCCUUUUAUCAGGGAAGAAAAAUAUCCAAAUUGACGGUACCUGAUGAAUAAGCAACGGCUAAAUACG
rnacentral:rRNA from 1 species